ensembl:lncRNA
CUUGAGGGAGAUCACGCGGCACAUGCAGGUCAACCGGGGGAUCGGGCCUAGCCAGCAUGGGUUCACGAAGGGCAGGUCCUGCUUGACCAACCUGAUCUCCUUCUAUGAUCCAGUGACCCAUCUGGUGGAUGAGGGAAAGGCUGUUGAUGUGGUCUACCUAGACUUCAGCAAAGCCUUUGACACUGUCUCCCACAGUAUUCUCCUCCACAAGCUGGCAGUCCGUGGCUCGGACAGAUACAUUCUUCGCUGGGUAAGGA